UUUUGACAUCUGUUUUGUGCUUCCAAGUGGAAAAGUGCUGGGAAUGGGAGGAGCCGUGUACGGAGGCUAGGUCAGAUCCAAAGGUCAGUGAGUGGUUCAGGAUUAAAUGAGUCACAGGGCACUAGAUGGGGAAAACCUAGGGCUUUAGCUCCCCGGUGCAAUUCCCCUCCAUUCUCACUAUAGCAAGCAGUUCUCAGAAAGAGAAAGGAGGCCCCAAGCAGCUGCUGGGGGCUUGAGAGGAUUGGAGGGUGGGGGCGUUCCCACCUGUAGUUCAGGAGGGGCAGUCAGAGGCUGCAGUUUUUCAUUGUUGCCUGGUGCCCAACACCUCUUCCGCAAUGCUGGGGGAUUUCCAUGUCUUGUUAGCAUUAUGACCAGUAGUGUGAGCCUUGCUUUCCCAGGGAAUAUAGGAUCUAAUACAUGCAUUCACUUAUGCAGCAAUAUCACUUAAAAGUUUUCUAAUACUUACGAACACCUAAAGGAGACACUCUUUUAGUCCCUGAAUUAAUGGAAAUCCCUCUGACUCACCUCUUCCUCAGCAUAAAAAAGAAAACAAUUAGGUAGCCUCUCACACAAACAGGUCAUGACAGAUAGUUUAGUCAUAGACAGCCGGAGUCGUAAAGACUUAGGCUAGUGAGCUUGUCUCAUAUAAAUUUGUAGGAAUUUUUUGCAAGAUAGUAAAUUUUCUCUAGGAAAUGUAAUUAGACACAUAGUCUCAUUUGAACCCUUUCAAGGAAGGCUUUGCACAAAGCACAUUUACUCUCCUGUGAGGCAGGCUGAGUCUCCCGCGUCUUCAGUCAAUGUGCCUGGGAAAAUGAGACUCGGUAAUAAAAAAUCUGUUUAUUCUGGGCAGUGCCCUGUGACCAUGACCAGAUUUGGGGAUGUCUGUGGCUGUGAAGCACAGGGCCAUGUGUCACUUUGGACAAGAUGUGCUGGCACUCACUCUUCUUUCUGUUUGUCUUCUCUGCACUUUCCUUCCUUCUGAGCAGAGAUUUGAAGAUCUAUCCCUGCAAGGAAGGAAGUGGAAGCUAUGCCUACCUGAGGGACAACAGGGGAAAACUUAGAUAGACACAUUAUCUGGUGUCCAACAUGGGGCAUGAGAUCACAAGGCAGCUUAUGAAGCGGCUGGCUCUACAACCACCAGAAUUGCAGUCACCACUGCUGAGUCUGUCAUUCUGGCAGUCCUCAAGACGUCUCUUUCUGCUAUGACCUUCUCCUGCCAGAAGCCCUGAAUCAGCUUCUCAGAGGCUUGCUCCCCUUCCCUAUGGGUCAUGGACUUUCCUAGGGUCUGCUUUCUGGGCCACUACUGCUUCAACUUGGCCUCCUUGACACCUGUUUUGACUUUGGUUGUUGCUGCCUCUGUACACCCCAGCCCCCAAUGUUGCAGCCACUGUUGCUGUGGACAAAAUGAAAAGUCAGCAGAUCUG
rnacentral:lncRNA from 1 species